rnacentral:rRNA from 1 species
UAGAGUUUGAUUCUGGCUCAGGACGAACGCUGGCGGCGUGCUUAACACAUGCAAGUCGAGCGGUAAGGCCCUUCGGGGUACACGAGCGGCGAACGGGUGAGUAACACGUGGGUAACCUGCCCUGUACUCCGGGAUAAGCCUGGGAAACUAGGUCUAAUACCGGAUACGACUUUCGGAGGCAUCUCCGAGGGUGGAAAGUUCCGGCGGUAUGGGAUGGACCCGCGGCCUAUCAGCUUGUUGGUGGGGUAGUGGCCUACCAAGGCGACGACGGGUAGCCGGCCUGAGAGGGUGACCGGCCACACUGGGACUGAGACACGGCCCAGACUCCUACGGGAGGCAGCAGUGGGGAAUAUUGCACAAUGGGCGAAAGCCUGAUGCAGCGACGCCGCGUGAGGGAUGACGGCCUUCGGGUUGUAAACCUCUUUCAGCAGGGACGAAGCGCAAGUGACGGUACCUGCAGAAGAAGCACCGGCUAACUACGUGCCAGCAGCCGCGGUAAU